rnacentral:tRNA from 1 species
AGUCAAUAAGUUUAUAAAACCUGUAUUUUGAAAAUACAAAAAGAAAGUUUAAUUCUUUCAUUGACUU